rnacentral:rRNA from 1 species
CCAGACUCCUACGGGAGGCAGCAGUGAGGAAUAUUGGUCAAUGGGCUUACGCCUGAACCAGCCAAGUCGCGUGAGGGAAGACUGCCCUAUGGGUUGUAAACCUCUUUUGUCAGGGAGCAAUUGGCGCUACGUGUAGCGUUAUCGAGAGUACCUGAAGAAAAAGCAUCGGCUAACUCCGUGCCAGCAGCCGCGGUAAUACGGAGGAUGCGAGCGUUAUCCGGAUUUAUUGGGUUUAAAGGGUGCGUAGGCGGAAUGCCAAGUCAGCGGUAAAAUCGCGGGGCUCAACCUCGCUCCGCCGUUGAAACUGGCAGUCUCGAGUUGGAGAGAAGUAUGCGGAAUGCGCGGUGUAGCGGUGAAAUGCAUAGAUAUCGCGCAGAACUCCGAUUGCGAAGGCAGCAUGCCGGCUCCACACUGACGCUGAGGCACGAAAGCGUGGGUAUCGAACAGGAUUAGAUACCCUAGUA